rfam:Gossypium raimondii Chr04_contig_1399, whole genome shotgun sequence.
UGUUAAAAAGUCAUUCAUUUCUACUAUUAAAAAUUGACAUGACUGAUGAAAUAAUCAGAUAGUUCCACACAACACGCCAAGUGUACCUCAUGCAAACGUACAAAGACCAAUUUUUAAUAAUAAAAAUAGAUAAAGUUUUAACA